CCUACGGGGGGCAGCAGUGAGGAAUAUUGGUCAAUGGGCGCGAGACUGAACCAGCCAAGUCGCGUGCGGGAAGACGGUCCUAUGGAUUGUAAACCUCUUUUGUCGGGGAGCAAAAGACGUCACGCGUGGCGUUCCGAGAGUACCCGAUGAAUAAGCAUCGGCUAAUUCCGUGCCAGCAGCCGCGGUAAUACGGAGGAUGCGGGCGUUAUCCGGAUUUAUUGGGUGUAAAGGGUGCGUAGGCGGAAGAUAAAGCUAGCGGUAAAAUUGAGUGGUUCAACCUGUUCGAGCCGUCGAAACUGGUUUGCUUGAGUGAGCGAAAAGUAUGCGGAAUGCGGGGUGUAGCGGUGAAAUGCAUAGAUAUCACGCAGAACUCCGAUUGCGAAGGCAGCAUACGGGCGCUCAACUGACGCUGAUGCACGAAAGUGUGGGUAUCGAACAGGAUUAGAUACCCUUGUAGUC
rnacentral:rRNA from 1 species